UACGUAGGUGGCAAGCGUUGUCCGGAAUUAUUGGGCGUAAAGCGUGCGUAGGCGGUUUGCCGUGUCCUGUGUGAAAGCCCCGGGCUCAACCUGGGAAUUGCAUGGGAAACUGGCAGGCUUGAGUGUGGCAGAGGAGGGUGGAAUUCCGCGUGUAGCAGUGAAAUGCGUAGAGAUGCGGAGGAACACCGAUGGCGAAGGCAGCCCUCUGGGCCAACACUGACGCUCAGGCACGAAAGCGUGGGGAGCAAACAGG
rnacentral:rRNA from 1 species